rnacentral:lncRNA from 1 species
AAAUAGUAUAUACACAUGCAUAUCAAUCGAUACAUAUGACACUUACAUCACAUUUUCCAAUUAUAUAUGCAAAUGCAAAAUCUAUAACAAUGUACACGUUGUCGGUGUUUUAUACCCGACAACCUACCGAGGGGUAUUCCGAGGUAGUAGAUUAGUUGGUGGGGAAUCGUCGGACCUGGAACUCGAAGGUAAAAGCGAGGACACAAGACACAGAUUUAUACAGGUUCGGGCCGCCAGAGUAGCGUAAUGCCCUACGUCCUGUUUGGGGUGUCGUAUAUUGCGCCCUGCGCUUGUGUGUUGUUUGGUGUUGAGGAUUUGGUCCUCUGUUGUGGUUCUAUGAGAUUUUCGCCUACUGAUCUAGGAACCCCUGCCCUCCUUUAUAUACUCAGGGGGUGGGAUUACUAGUCAGUUACAAGGUAGGAGUCCUAGUAGGAUUACAUGGUACGAGUCCUAGUAGGAUUACAUGGUACGAGUCCAGUAGGAUUACAGAGGAAUCCUAGUAGGAGUCUGUCUUCUUCAUUCCUUGCGGGUACUAGGGAUCUAUCCCCCACACAUAUUGAAAGAAUUAAGUGAUGCGUUUGAUAUAUGUGAG